GGGCUGGUAGUUCAGCGGUAGAACGCUUCCCUCACACGGAAGAAGUCACAGGUUCGAAUCCUGUCCAGCCCACCA
rnacentral:tRNA from 1 species